UUACCAGCUUACACGUUUCCCUGGGAAGGCAAAACACACGUCAAGAAACUGCAAAUUGAAUUCUCUCCCUCCGUGCAGAGGAUCUGCUUGUGUUUUUAUAAAGAGUAAAAUCAGAAGUAGAUGCACCACAUUUCCUUUUGCGGAAUCUGUAUUUUUAGAAUGAUUACUUGAGCAUGAGACACAGAUACGGUUUUUAAAACACACGCCAGUUGGUGCCGUGUGUUUAAGAGGCAGGCCAGGUAGGAACGUCUUGUUUUUGUUGCUUUGUUUUCCAAGGAGCGUCUAAAUUCCUCUUUGUAAUUUGCCGACUGCAAAUGGCUGUGCCCGUUUUGUGCCAAGUAUAUGAAUUAUACCGUGGCUCAUCCUUGAACAGUGUCCUUGCUGUACCUUCUGCUGUACCCACUUUGUGAAUGGGCAGCUGGAGUUCAGGUGAAUUAUGUCAUUGAUACAGUCAUUUGAAUAGACAUUUGACAGUCAUUUGAAUUCUAGUUAAUUCCACAUGUUUAUGCUAUCUCUACCCCAUAUAAUACCUGGAAGAGGAAACUGGAUUGAUCAUUCAGAUAGCAUAAAACAUGCCAGGAAUUAGCAAAAGGGGGCUUCUCUCUUCUUCCCAGAAUGCAGGAGAGGGCUCUGAGCAGAUCUCUUCACAAUGCCAUACAAGCCUUAGAAAAAGGUACUCCCUCCCCUGACGCCCUUACCUAGCUGCUGGGCUGCAGACACCGCUGUAAGAAGCAAACUUCACAUGGCAGCCUGUCAGCGGCUGUGGGCAAACACUGGAAGACGACUGCAUUAUUUAUGAUCAUUAUUUAUUUUCUGGUGUUCAAAUAUUUACCUUUCUUUCUUUUCUUUUGCAAACAGUUUAGUGGGCAGUGGGGAAACCCUGCCUCCUGCUAAAGAGGUUGAGCUUUGUUUCCGGAGGCCAAGUCCAGUUAAAGACGCUGACCACGCUUCCCAGAGCUGGGCUGGCCAAAAGCCAGCAAAGAGUACUGCCUCAUUCUUGUGACUACAUUGCUUCAAAGAAUGAGUUGGCUUAUCCUGAAGGGAUUCUCUUCUAAUGAAUUGGCUGUCAGUCUGGGCUGCGCCCUUGCCUGGCAUCUGUCCCACUGGUUACUCAGACCUUGGUUUGUUUGUUUGUUUUGUUUUGUCUUUUGUCUGCUUCUGUCAUCAUUGAUCUAUGAUGUUUAGACUUAGGUUAAUGUGGUAGUUAACGUUCAACUUGGUUAGAUUUAGAAUCACUUAGGAGCCAUAACUCUGCGUAGGCCUUUAGUGUUUCUCCCAAAUGGACUAAUGUGGGUGGUGGAGUCCCAAGAUGAUUAAAAAAAAAUCAAGUAUGGAGAUCUCUGUUCAUCUCCAUCUACUUCCUGACUGUGGAUAUGGCGUGACCAGCCACUCCACACUUCCACCAUCUUGCCUUUGCUUCCAUGAUAUACUGUAUCCCUUCAGAUCAUGAGCCAAGAUCUCUUCAGAAAUAAGAAUACUUCUCCCUUCAAGUGCUGUUUUUCAGGGAUUUGAUCACAGG
rnacentral:lncRNA from 1 species